GCCAAGCCAGCCCUCACUAUGUAGUGUUCUAUUCAUUCAAAUAACUAUGCAAUAACUACUGAAAAUCGGGACCAAGUAUUGGAGAAGGAGGACCAAAAAAAAUGUUGUUUCUGUCCUCCAGGAACUUUGAAUCUCCUAGGAGAAUCUAGCAUACACAUCAAGACGUCACAGUAGGACAAAGGAAUAAGUGUUGUCAGUGACAGACAGGUAUUUUGGAAAGCUUCCUAGAGGUGACACUUGAGUUAAAUUUUAAAGGUGAACAGGAGUUAUUCUGGCAAAGGAAGAGGUGUGGAGGAAGGAGAGUAAGGAAGAGGGAACAGGUUAACAAGCUUGGGAAACCCCAAGUCGUUCUAUCAGCUGAAAUGAAGAGUUUCUCAUAGAGGCAGAACAUGAGGCCAUAGGGAUAAGCAGGGCCCAAAUGCCAAAAAGCCUGAUGUGCUGACCUGAGAGAUUCAGAGUCUUUCCCAAAAAGCGUCAUGGAAGGGUUUUUGGCAGAGAAACAUCACAAUCGAAUCUGCAUUUCAGAAAGGUUGACUCAGCAACACAGAGAUAAAGGGGUGACAGGGUGAAAAUGAGGGGACAUUGAAAAGACUUUCAACUAUCUCUGGAAUAAAUGAACUGAAAUUCUUAUCACAGUGGGAAUGGAGAGGGUAUUUAUGAGAUACUAUGGAAAAGUGCGGAGGUCAUCCACUGAUAUAGGUAACAUGAAGGUCAAAGGUUAGACUGGAAGGAGAGGAGCCAAUGAUACUUUUUGACUUCUGGAGUUCCAGGUGUCUCUUGGACACCCAGGUGAUACCUAAUAGGCUUAUGAAUAUGUGUGUGUCUGUAUUUUUCCCCAUUAUUACAGUUUGCAAGACAUAUGGACUGGAGAUACAAGUUUGAGUGCCAGGGCAGUACAGGUAGCAAGAAUGUCGAUGUAGUCACUCAGAGAAAGUGUGGGCCAGGAGGUCUGUGGACUCAGGACUGAGCUCUGAGGAGCUCCAACUUCAAGCAGUUGAAGGCUUGGAUUUGUGAACAUUCUUCCAGGAGCAGGGUGUGAAGAAAGGAGUGAGAAAAGGAGAUCAACAACAUUUAGGGGAAAACAAGGUGAACAGACGAGAAGAGAGGGACGAAACUGCAGGAGAGACCAGAACACGGUGUCAAGUCGAGGCAAGUCAGUAGCAUCAAACACUGCAGACGUCAACGAAGAUAAGGACAGGAAACUUCAUGUUAGGUUUGGCAACUAAGAGGUGGCCAGUGCGGCCAGAGUGAGGUCACUCGAGCGAUGAAAGGGUGGGUUUCCGGCUGUUGAAAUCUUUUCAACUGAAACGCAGUUUGAGCAUCUGGCUGGGAGCUGCACCCCGCGCUGCUUUCCCGAGUUCAUCAGAGUCGAGCGUUCACACUGACACACCAGAAGACUAACAGGAACUUGGCGUUUUCGAACAGAGCGCGCAGGAAUCCUGCGCAGGCGCUUCCGAAGUCG
rnacentral:lncRNA from 1 species